rnacentral:rRNA from 1 species
CAGUCGCCGCGGGAAUACGUAGGUGGCAAGCGUUGUCCGGAAUUAUUGGGCGUAAAGCGCGCGCAGGCGGAUAGGUCAGUCUGUCUUAAAAGUUCGGGGCUUAACCCCGUGAUGGGAUGGAAGCUGCCAAUCUAGAGUAUCGGAGAGGAAAGUGGAAUUCCUAGUGUAGCGGUGAAAUGCGUAGAUAUUAGGAAGAACACCAGUGGCGAAGGCGACUUUCUGGACGAAAACUGACGCUGAGGCGCGAAAGCCAGGGGAGCGAACGGGAUUAGAUACCCGAGUAGUCCCUGUCUCUUAUACA